UGGCUCUUUGAAAGAUCAAAUAAAGAGUCGAGCCUGCCCAGUGAGUAGUUUUUAACGGCCGCAGUACCCUGACUGUGCGAAGGUAGCAUAAUAAUUUGCCCUAUAAUUGAGGGCUAGAAUGAAUGGUUUGACAAGAACGUAGCUGUCUCCACAAAAUUUAAUAGAAAUUAACUUGCAGGUGAAGAGGCCUGUAUUAGACUAAAAGACGAGAAGACCCUAUUGAGCUUUAAAUAGAGUUUAAAAUAAUAUUUGAAAUUAUUUUUGGUUGGGGCGACUUAGGAACAAAUAAGCUUCCUUUUUAAUACAAAGUAUUUUUAAUGAUCCAGUAUCACUGAUUAAUUGAAUAAGCUACCAUAGGGAUAACAGCGUUAUUUCUUUUAAGAGUUCCGAUCGAAAAGGAUGUUUGCGACCUCGAUGUUGAAUUAAGGUGUCCUAAUAGUGCAGCAGUUAUUAAGGGUUGGUCUGUU
rnacentral:rRNA from 1 species